rnacentral:rRNA from 1 species
UACGUACGAGGCGAGCGUUAUCCGGAAUUACUGGGCGUAAAGCGCGCGCAGGCGGACCAUUAAGUUGGGCGUGAAAUCUCCCGGCCUAACUGGGAGGGGUCGCCCAAGACCUGGUGGUCUUGAGGACAGCAGAGGUGGGUGGAAUUCCUGGUGUAGUGGUGAAAUGCGUAGAGAUCAGGAGGAACACCGGUGGCGAAGGCGGCCCACUGGGCUGUCACUGACGUGAGGCGCGAAAGCUCGGGGGAGCGAACGGG